rnacentral:rRNA from 1 species
UACGGAGGGGGCUAGCGUUGUUCGGAAUUACUGGGCGUAAAGCGUGCGUAGGCGGAUCAAUAAGUUAGAUGUGAAAUCCCAGGGCUCAACCCUGGAACUGCAUUUAAAACUGUUGGUCUUGAGUUCUGGAGAGGUAAGUGGAAUUGCUAGUGUAGAGGUGAAAUUCGUAGAUAUUAGCAGGAACACCAGAGGCGAAGGCGGCUUACUGGACAGAUACUGACGCUGAGGCACGAAAGUGUGGGGAGCAAACAGG